CCCUUAGAUGUCCUGGGCCGCGCGCGCGUUACACUGAUGCAUUCAACGAGCUUAUAACCUUGGCCGAGAGGCCUGGGCAAUCUUGUUAACGUGCAUCGUGAUAGGGAUAGAUUAUUGAAAUUAUUAAUCUUGAACGAGGAAUUCCUAGUAAACGCAGAUCAUCAAUCUGCAUUGAUUACGUCCCUGCCCUUUGUACACACCGCCCGUCGCACCUACCGAUUGGAUGGUCCGGUGAAGCCUCGGGAUUGUGGUUCUUGCCGCUUUGUUGUGGCGUGACCGCGAGAACUUGUCUAAACCUUAUCAUCUAGAGGAAGGUGAAGUCGUAACA
rnacentral:rRNA from 1 species